rnacentral:rRNA from 1 species
AUUGAACGCUGGCGGCAUGCUUUACACAUGCAAGUCGAACGAGUGGCGCACGGGUGAGUAAUACAUCUGAACGUGUCCUUUCGUGGGGGAUAACUGAUCGAAAGAUCAGCUCAGACCGCAUACGAUUGUAGCGGCCGAGGCCCGAUUAGCUAGUUGGUGAGGUAACGGCUCACCAAGGCGACGAUAGGUAGCUGGUCUGAGAGGACGACCAGCCACACUGGGCCUGAGACACGGCCCAGACUCCUACGGGAGGCAGCAGUGGGGAAGUUUGGACAAGGGGCGCAACCCUGAUCCAGCCAUGUCGCGUGCAGGAUGAAGGUCUUCGGAUUGUAAACUGCUUUUGUCAGGGAAGCGGUACCUGAAGAAUAAGCACCGGCUAACUACGUGCCAGCAGCCGCGGUAAUAC